UUUGUUAAAUAUGCACCGAGUGAGUAAAUGUGUGUGUGUAGCAUUAACAGGCUUUUAAGCCACUGUGAAUAUAGAUGCACCAGUUAUCUGAUGAAUGUAACAAGACGAACAUAAUGGCCAUUUUUCCUCUGAGUGUCUCGCAGCACUUUUACUGUCUGUGUUAAAAGUAGUUAUUGAACAAAUGAUUUAGUGUAUGUCUCUCUACACAGGAUUCAUAUAAGAUGCAUCACCUAUUUCUCAACGACUGCACACUUCAAAAAUGGCCGGUUAAGACCCAUAUAAAAUGUAGCUUCAUUAACUCAAGACUUAAAGAAGAUCAGAGGGAUACGUGUUCCUCGACAGUAUCUUCUGAAGACUAUUGAUAACUGUGCGUGUUGUAAUGAAAAUUAUGCAUUUUAAUCUACUGCGACUGUGAUAUCUGUAAUAAUUUCAGUUUUUGCUUUAUGUGGGCAAUGUAUCACAUUCACUUUAUACUAUGACGUAUUUUGUUGGAAAAUGUACUUAUGAACACUUAAUCAAGUAAAAUCGUGAAACUCUG
rnacentral:sRNA from 1 species